AGCUGCAGGCUGGUUCUGUCCAGGUAAAAGGCCCUCUCUUCGCUCUUCCCAGAGCUCUCUCUUUGAGAAACAUGGGAAUAUGCCACCGUGACAUUGAUGCAUGAAGGCAAAGAAAACUACAAGGACCUGCAUUUUUCAUUUCCAAGGUCCUCCUCCUGAUGUGAUGCGCUGCUGCUCUGCAUUGUAAUUACAGGAGCCACUGAUUUCUGCUAACAGGCUGAAUUUUCUGGGCGAAUCUCUCGCUCGGUGGAUGAUUGAGGCUCCAACGGCACAUCCUGAGCGGAUCCACAGGUUCUCGCUUAUAGGGAAAAAAAGAGACAGAUUCUUGGGUCCACGUGGAUUUGAAAAGUAUUGGUUUUGGACGCGCAGACAGGAAUGUAAGCAGCUGGUUUGAGACUCCCAAAGCUCGGGGCCCCACAGGAGCAGAGAGGGCUGCGUGGCGCGCAAAUCCCAGAAGACUGUCACUGAUAUGGGGAGAGAAAAAGCCCUGAUUGGACAGAAGCUGCCAGUCAUAAAUCUGUGAUCAGAGAGGAGCUCAUCAGGAUAAUCUGAUCAGGAAAAAAGUGAUGAGAGGGAGGGAGAAACCCUCAUCUGAUUUGGAAUUUAGAAUUCAUCCUUUUUUUUUUUUUGUUCCAUCCAUCCAGCGCGUUCAUUGCGCACAGGCGCAUUUUUUUUUUCCUGGGAUGCACGGGUGAGCGCGCACGGGUCAGUCCGGUAGACUAAUUACCAUAAUAAGCAGCAUAAGUUCGCCGAGGCGGCGAGUCGGGCACGUUUGUUAGUCCGCGUUAGCGCGCAGGCAGUGCCGCAGCGGCGGGGAGGGAGAGGAGGCGCAGACAGACGGAGGAGCUCCCGAUCGCAGCCGCGCGUCCUCCCGCAGAACCGAGCCUCCUCGUAUGGGAAUACAGCGGGGCGACAGCACACCCGGCUCCGGAGGAUCCCCCCCCAGCAUCCGAGGCGGCGGAGGAGACGCAGCAUCCGAGAGAAUAUCUGGAGUCAGACGUGACAACCUGUCUACAUCAAAGUGGAGAAUUCAGAGGAAAGAAGCAGUCCCGUAAAGCUCUCUCCCAGAGUUCACAAAGUUCCCACGUUGAUGAGUUUCUGAGAAGAUAGCGCUCUCCGUCUCUGAAGACGCCGCGUUGGAUUGAGAGGUUCAGAUGGUUUGGCAGAACCUCGUUUCCUGGCAGCCCCACUUCAAAAGGUGAGGUUAUAGAUUUUAUUAUUAUUUUCUGUAGUUUUUGAUUUUUUUUGGUUCAAAUGUGCAACGUCAGCGAACCCUCAUUGGAUCAAAAGCUUUCAGGCGUGGAAGAAACCCCCAAGGAACCAGAAAGUUUCAUUUCAUU
rnacentral:lncRNA from 1 species